UACGAAGGGGGCUAGCGUUGCUCGGAAUUACUGGGCGUAAAGCGCGCGUAGGCGGCUUUGCAAGUCGGGUGUGAAAUCCCCAGGCUUAACCUGGGAACUGCAUUCGAGACUGCAUUGCUAGAGUAUGGGGAGAGGGAAGUUGGAAUUUCAGGUGUAGCGGUGAAAUGCGUAGAUAUCUGAAGGAACAUCAGUGGCGAAAGCGACUUCCUGGACCAAUACUGACGCUCAUGUGCGAAAGCGUGGGGAGCAAACAGG
rnacentral:rRNA from 1 species